rnacentral:rRNA from 1 species
AGCGAACGCUGGCGGCAUGCCUAACACAUGCAAGUCGAGCGAGCACUUCGGUGUCUGCGGCAGACGGGGGAGUAACACGAGGGAACGCACCCUUCUGUUCGGCAUAACGCUGGGAAACUAGCGCUAAUACCGGAUACGCGCUUUUGGGGGAAGGUUUACUGCCGAAGGAGCGGCCCGCGUCUGAUUAGCUAGUUGGUGGGGUAAUGGCCUCCCAAGGCGACGAUCAGUAGAUGGGUUGAGAGACUGAUCAGCCACACUGAGACUGAGACACGGCCCGGACUCCUACGGGAGGCAGCAGUGGGGGAUAUUGGACAGCGGGCGCAGGCCUGAUCGAGCCAUGCCGCGUGAGUGAUGAAGGUAUUAGGGUUGUAAAGCUCUUUUGUCUGGGACCAUAAUGACGGUACCGGAAGAAUAAGCCCCGGCUAACUUCGUG